GGUCAAGCUACAAAGGGCGCAUGGUGAAUGCCUUGGCAUCAGGAGCCGAUGAAGGACGUGAUAAGCUGCGAUAAGCUUCGGGUAGGCGCACAUAGCCUGAGAUCCGAAGAUCUCCGAAUGAGGAAACUCACAUGGGAAACCCCAUGUAUCAUUAAGUGAAUACAUAGCUUAAUGAAGGUAACCCAGGGAACUGAAACAUCUAAGUACCUGGAGGAAGAGAAAGAAAAAUCGAUUUUCUUAGUAGCGGCGAGCGAAAGGGAAAGAGCCCAAACCGGAAACUUGUUUCCGGGGUUGUGGACAUAGCAUGAAAGUGGAGGCUAUUGUAACUGAAGAGAACUGGAAAGUUCCACCGUAGAAGGUAAUAGUCCUGUAAGUGAAACGAGAAGACCACGAGUUAUGAUCCAGAGUACCACGAGACACGUGAAACCUUGUGGGAAGCAGGGAGGACCACCUCCCAAGGCUAAAUACUACCUGAUGACCGAUAGUGAAGCAGUACCGUGAGGGAAAGGUGAAAAGAACCCCGGGAGGGGAGUGAAAUAGAACCUGAAACCGUGUGCCUACAACCGCUCAGAGCCCCUUAUGAGGGUGAUGAGGUGCUUUUUGUAGAACGAGCCAACGAGUUACGGUAUGUAGCAAGGUUAAGUACUUAAGGUACGGAGCCGAAGGGAAACCGAGUCUGAAUAGGGCGACUAGUUGCAUGCCGUAGACCCGAAACCGGGUGACCUAUCCAUGGCCAGGUUGAAGCGAGGGUAAAACCUUGUGGAGGACCGAACCACGUUGCUGUUGAAAAAGCAUGGGAUGAGCUGUGGAUAGCGGAGAAAUUCCAAUCGAACCCGGAGAUAGCUGGUUCUCUCCGAAAUAGCUUUAGGGCUAGCGUCGAGUAUGAGUAGUGGAGGUAGAGCACUGAAUGGGCUAGGGGGCAUAGCGCUUACCGAACCUUAUCAAACUCCGAAUGCCACAUACUUUGAGCUCGGCAGUCAGACUACGAAUGAUAAGAUCCGUGGUCAAAAGGGAAACAGCCCAGAUCGUCAGCUAAGGUCCCAAAGUGUAAGUUAAGUGGGAAAGGAUGUGAGAUUUCUAAGACAACUAGGAUGUUGGCUUAGAAGCAGCCAUUCAUUAAAAGAGUGCGUAAUAGCUCACUAGUCGAGAGAUCUUGCGCCGAAAAUGUAACGGGGCUAAACUUACCACCGAAGCUACGGGCUUGAACUUAGUUCAAGCGGUAGGAGAGCGUCGUAACCGGGCUGAAGUCGUACCGUAAGGAGCGGUGGACUGGUUACGAGUGAGAAUGUUGGCAUCAGUAGCGAGAUGUGGGUGAGAAUCCCACAGGCCGAAAACCUAAGGUUUCCUCAGGAAGGUUCGUCCGCUGAGGGUUAGUCGGGACCUAAGCCGAGGCCGAAAGGCGUAGGUGAUGGACAACUGGUUGAUAUUCCAGUACCACUACCAUCGUUAUUAUCGAUGGCGUGACGCAGGAGGAUAGUGUGUGCUAGCUAUUGGAUGCUAGUCUAAGCGUUUAGGCAGUGAGAGUAGGCAAAUCCGCUCUCAUAAUGCUGAGGCGUGAUGGGGAAGGUUCCACGGAACCGAAGUAUAUGAUUCCACGCUGCCAAGAAAAGCGUCUAGAGAGAGAAGUAGUGCCCGUACCGCAAACCGACACAGGUAGGUGAGGAGAGAAUCCUAAGGCCGGCGGAAGAAUUACAGUUAAGGAACUCGGCAAAUUGACCCCGUAAGUUCGCGAGAAGGGGUGCCUACGAGAGUAGGCCGCAGAGAAUAGGCCCAAGCAACUGUUUAGCAAAAACACAGGUCUCUGCUAAAGCGUAAGCUGAUGUAUAGGGGCUGACGCCUGCCCGGUGCUGGAAGGUUAAGGGGAACACUUAGCGCAAGCGAAGGUGUGAACUUAAGCCCCAGUAAACGGCGGCCGUAACUAUAACGGUCCUAAGGUAGCGAAAUUCCUUGUCAGGUAAGUUCUGACCCGCACGAAUGGCGUAAUGACUUGGGCACUGUCUCAACUGUAAAUCCGGCGAAGUUGUAGUGCGAGUGAAGAUGCUCGCUACCCGCGAUUGGACGGAAAGACCCCGUAGAGCUUUACUGUAGCUUAGCAUUGAGUUUUGGUAUUGUCUGUACAGGAUAGGUGGGAGACUAGGAAACCAGGGCGUCAGCCUUGGUGGAGUCAACCUUGGGAUACCACCCUGACAGUACUGAAAUUCUAACUGGCGGCCAUGAAUCUGGUCACAGGACAUUGUUAGGUGGGCAGUUUGACUGGGGCGGUCGCCUCCUAAAAAGUAACGGAGGCGCCCAAAGGUUCCCUCAGAACGGUCGGAAAUCGUUCGAAGAGUGCAAAGGCAGAAGGGAGCCUGACUGCGACACCCACAAGUGGAGCAGGGACGAAAGUCGGGCUUAGUGAUCCGGUGGUACCUCGUGGGAGGGCCAUCGCUCAACGGAUAAAAGCUACCUCGGGGAUAACAGGCUGAUCUCCCCCAAGAGUCCACAUCGACGGGGAGGUUUGGCACCUCGAUGUCGGCUCGUCGCAUCCUGGGGCUGAAGUAGGUCCCAAGGGUUGGGCUGUUCGCCCAUUAAAGCGGCACGCGAGCUGGGUUCAGAACGUCGUGAGACAGUUCGGUCCCUAUCCGUCGCGGGCGUAGGAAAUUUGAGAGGAGCUGUCCUUAGUACGAGAGGACCGGGAUGGACUGACCUCUGGUGUACCAGUUGUUCCGCCAGGAGCACAGCUGGGUAGCUAAGUCGGGAAUGGAUAAACGCUGAAAGCAUCUAAGCGUGAAGCCAACCUCAAGAUGAGAUUUCCCAUAGCGUAAGCUAGUAAGAUCCCUUGAAGAACACAAGGUUGAUAGGUCGGGGGUGUAAGCAUGGUAACAUGUUCAGCUGACCGAUACUAAUAGAUCGAGGGCUUGACCAAAUA
rnacentral:rRNA from 1 species